AUUGAACGCUGGCGGCAUGCCUUACACAUGCAAGUCGAACGGUAACGGGCCUUCGGGUGCCGACGAGUGGCGAACGGGUGAGUAAUACAUCGGAACGUGCCCGAUCGUGGGGGAUAACGAGGCGAAAGCUUUGCUAAUACCGCAUACGAUCUACGGAUGAAAGCAGGGGACCGCAAGGCCUUGCGCGGACGGAGCGGCCGAUGGCAGAUUCGGUAGUUGGUGGGAUAAAAGCUUACCAAGCCGACGAUCUGUAGCUGGUCUGAGAGGAUGAUCAGCCACACUGGGACGGAGACACGGCCCAGACUCCUACGGGAGGCAGCAGUGGGGAAUUUUGGACAAUGGGCGCAAGCCUGAUCCAGCCAUGCCGCGUGCAGGAUGAAGGCCUUCGGGUUGUAAACUGCUUUUGUACGGAACGAAAAGCCUUCUUUUAAUACAGGAGGGUCAUGACGGUACCGUAAGAAUAAGCACCGGCUAACUACGUG
rnacentral:rRNA from 1 species